rnacentral:rRNA from 1 species
UAGUCGAUGGGAAACGGGUUAAUAUUCCCGUACUUCUUACAAUUGCGAUGGGGGGACGGAGAAGGCUAGGUGGGCCUGGCGACGGUUGUCCAGGUUCAAGUGUGUAGGCUUGAGAGUUAGGUAAAUCCGGCUCUCUUUAAGGCUGAGACACGACGUCGAGCAUCUACGGAUGUGAAGUCAUUGAUGCCAUGCUUCCAGGAAAAGCCUCUAAGCUUCAGAUUGUAAGGAAUCGUACCCCAAACCGAC